rnacentral:lncRNA from 1 species
AGAACUUCUCCUUGCUGCUUCCGUGUAAAGAAGGAUGUGUUUGCUUCUCCUUCCACCAUGAUUGUAAGUUUCCUGAGGCCUCCCCAGCCAUGCUCAACUGCUGUUCUGAUCAUGAUCAAGCCCAAGACAGAGCGAUGGGCGUGGCUUCCCCAAAGGUGUUUAUGAAUCCAAAAUCUGAGAGAGAGAAGACAAGAUGAAGUCACAGGGAUUGCCCUCAACCGAAGGAAGCUGCAUUGCCCAAGAUGAGAUCCCCUCGCUGGGGCAUCCUGCAUCCAAUGACAAGUCAGUGGGGCGUACGAAGGCCUGGCUUCCUCAUCUCGAUUGGACAUCUCCAAAGGGCCAUCCCAGUUUCUGAUCUCCCCGUAGAAUCUCCUGAAGCCUCUGUUGUGACUGCAUCAGAGCCCAACCUCUCUCUCUACCCAAUCCAGUCUCCUUUCCUUCUCACAGGUGUUGUUCCCAAAACUCAGUAAACUGCCUACACGCAAAUCUCUGCUUCUGAGUCUGUUUCCCAGGAAACCUGACCUACAACAGCAGUUAGUUGGCCUAAGACAGCAGUCUCAGAAAUGGGAUUUGGGAGCUGUGCUGCUCACCGGCUGACUGGUUCUGAGGACCCCAUUACGAACAGUAGGUGGAACAGUGGCAGCCCCCAGCAUGCGGUUAGGGUGCAAUUGCUAACACUUUCGCUGGUGAUGAGCUGGCAUGGGAUACAGGUAGAUAUUAAUGUACUAGGGGCUGCAGCACAUCAAGCAUUUGAGAGGUUCUGGAUAAAUAGCAUUUGUAAAGACUGUAGAAUGAGAUGGCCGUUGCUGGGGGUGGUGGGUGCAUAGUUUCAUUGCAGAAAGACAAUGAAA